rnacentral:rRNA from 1 species
UACGUAGGGUGCAAGCGUUAAUCGGAAUACUGGGCGUAAAGCGUGCGCAGGCGGUUUGGUAAGACAGAUGUGAAAUCCCCCGGGCUCAACCUGGGAAUUGCAUUUGUGACUGCCCGACUAGAGUGUGUCAGAGGGGGGUAGAAUUCCACGUGUAGCAGUGAAAUGCGUAGAGAUGUGGAGGAAUACCGAUGGCGAAGGCAGCCCCCUGGGAUAACACUGACGCUCAUGCACGAAAGCGUGGGGAGCAAACAGG